GACGAACGCUGGCGGCGUGCCUAAUACAUGCAAGUAGAACGCACAGUUUAUACCGUAGCUUGCUCCACCAUAAACUGUGAGUUGCGAACGGGUGAGUAACGCGUAGGUAACCUGCCUGGUAGCGGGGGAUAACUAUUGGAAACGAUAGCUAAUACCGCAUAAUAUUGAUUAUUGCAUGAUAAUUGAUUGAAAGAUGCUAUUGCAUCACUACCAGAUGGACCUGCGUUGUAUUAGCUAGUAGGUGAGGUAACGGCUCACCUAGGCGACGAUACAUAGCCGACCUGAGAGGGUGAUCGGCCACACUGAGACUGAGACACGGCACAGACGCCUACGGGAGGCAGCAGUAGGGAAUCGUCGGCAAUGGACGAAAGUCUGACCGAGCAACGCCGCGUGAGUGAAGAAGGAUGUCGGAUCGGAAAGCUCUGUUGUAAGAGAAGAACGGGUGUGAGAGUGGAAAGUUCACACUGUGACGGUAUCUGACCAGAAAGGGACGGCUAACUACGUG
rnacentral:rRNA from 1 species